GCUAGACUCCCAGCGUCACGUGGAGAACUGGGUGCGAACCCCAGGCUGACCCGCAACCGUAACUGCCUCGCAGGAGCCGGACCAAUGCGUGACGAGUGCAUUGUUC
rnacentral:ncRNA from 1 species